rnacentral:rRNA from 1 species
AAAGAUUAAGCCAUGCAUGUCUAAGUAUAAGCAAUCUAUACGGUGAAACUGCGAAUGGCUCAUUAAAUCAGUUAUCGUUUAUUUGAUAGUACCUUACUACUUGGAUAACCGUGGUAAUUCUAGAGCUAAUACAUGCUAAAAACCCCGACUUCGGAAGGGGUGUAUUUAUUAGAUAAAAAACCAAUGCCCUUCGGGGCUCCUUGGUGAUUCAUAAUAACUUAACGAAUCGCAUAGCCUUGUGCUGGCGAUGGUUCAUUCAAAUUUCUGCCCUAUCAACUUUCGAUUGUAAGGUAUUGGCUUACAAUGGUUU